CUCCUAUGGAACACGAAGUACCCGAAGUGGAAUGAAGAAGCCCAUGUUUGAGGCCCGCGCUCUGGCUGGAGCAUUGAAGGGGCAUCUGACACGUGACAAGCUGCUCCUGUUUGCACAGCUACUUCAACAUUGUGUACUGUGAUCACCGUGAGUUCAGAGGUUACCCAACGCGUU